UCUGCCGAUUCAUUGGGGCAAAAAAUGAGUGGAUUUCUACUUUUCAGUUCCUUCUUAAUUUAAUAUGUUUUAUAACUAGUUACGUCACGACAUUUGCACAUUUAAGCUCAAGAG